rnacentral:rRNA from 1 species
GUGGGGAAUAUUGGACAAUGGGCGCAAGCCUGAUCCAGCCAUGCCGCGUGAGUGAUGAAGGCCUUAGGGUUGUAAAGCUCUUUCACCGGUGAAGAUAAUGACGGUAACCGGAGAAGAAGCCCCGGCUAACUUCGUGCCAGCAGCCGCGGUAAUACGAAGGGGGCUAGCGUUGGUCGGAAUUACUGGGCGUAAAGCGCACGUAGGCGGAUAUUUAAGUCAGGGGUGAAAUCCCAGAGCUCAACUCUGGAACUGCCUUUGAUACUGGGUAUCUCGAGUAUGGAAGAGGUAAGUGGAAUUCCGAGUGUAGAGGUGAAAUUCGUAGAUAUUCGGAGGAACACCAGUGGCGAAGGCGGCUUACUGGUCCAUUACUGACGCUGAGGUGCGAAAGCGUGGGGAGCAAACAGGAUUAGAAACCCUAGUAGUCC